GAAGAGGAAGUACAUAGUAUUGCUGAUUUCCAAUUAGUAGGAGAGAAAUUAUGUU
rnacentral:tRNA from 1 species